GAUGAAGAACGCAGCAAAAUGCGAUAAGUAGUGUGAAUUGCAGAAUUCAGUGAAUCAUCGAAUCUUUGAACGCACAUUGCGCCCGCCAGUAUUCUGGCGGGCAUGCCUGUUCGAGCGUCAUUACAACCCUCAGGCCCCCGGGCCUGGCGUUGGGGAUCGGCGGAGCCCCCCGUGGGCACACGCCGUCCCCCAAAUACAGUGGCGGUCCCGCCGCAGCUUCCAUCGCGUAGUAGCUAACACCUCGCGACUGGAGAGCGGCGCGGCCACGCCGUAAAACACCCAACUCUUCUGAAGUUGACCUCGAAUCAGGUAGGAAUACCCGCUGAACUUAAGCACAUCAAUAAGCGGAGGA
rnacentral:misc_RNA from 1 species